rnacentral:rRNA from 1 species
CCCUUAGAUGUUCUGGGCCGCACGCGUGCUACACUGAGUGGAUCAGCGGGUCAGGUUGCGCGAAAGUGUUUCCUAAUCUUGAAAUCCGCUCGUGAUGGGGAUUGACGGUUGCAAUUUUCCGUCAUGAACGAGGAAUACCUUGUAAGCGCGGGUCAUCAUCCCGCGCUGAAUACGUCCCUGCCCUUUGUACACACCGCCCGUCGCUCCUACCGAUUGAGUGGUCCGGUGAGGCUUUGGGAUCUGAGCGGAAAGAGCGUUUCGCUCGUUCUGCCCGGAAAACUCAGUCGAACCUUAUCAUUUAGAGGAAGGAGAUGUCGUAACA